rnacentral:rRNA from 1 species
UGGGGAAUUUUGACAAUGGGCGAAAGCCUGAUCCAGCAAUGCCGCGUGUGUGAAGAAGGCCUUCGGGUUGUAAAGCACUUUUGUCCGGAAAGAAAUCCUUGGCUCUAAUACAGUCGGGGGAUGACGGUACCGGAAGAAUAAGCACCGGCUAACUACGUGCCAGCAGCCGCGGUAAUACGUAGGGUGCAAGCGUUAAUCGGAAUUACUGGGCGUAAAGCGUGCGCAGGCGGUUUGCUAAGACCGAUGUGAAAUCCCCGGGCUCAACCUGGGAACUGCAUUGGUGACUGGCAGGCUAGAGUAUGGCAGGAGGGGGUAGAAUUCCACGUGUAGCAGUGAAAUGCGUAGAGAUGUGGAGGAAUACCGAUGGCGAAGGCAGCCCCCUGGGCCAAUACUGACGCUCAUGCACGAAAGCGUGGGGAGCAAACAGGAUUAGAUACCCUGGUAGUCCACGCCCUAAACGAUGUCAACUAGUUGUUGGGGAUUCAUUUCCUUAGUAACGUAGCUAACGCGUGAAGUUGACCGCCUGGGGAGUACGGUCGCAAGAUUAAAACUC